CUCAACUUUUCAUUUCACAUCCAUUUGUGUGGUAAAUGUUUCUGUAUUCCCUUACUUUCAGUCUGUAGGUGUCUUUAGGUCUAAAAUG